UUAAAGCCAUACCAUGUUAAAUUGGUAAAAUUUAAGUCAAUACAUUUUCUGUGUACCACAACUUUCCGAUUUACUUUUUUACAAUGUGGUGGUGGAAUUUUAAAAAACAUUAAGGCCAUAUUGUGGUUACCAGUCUCAUACGAAUUCUUCAAGAAACGUCUCCAAGAUUUCAUACAUCCUAAAAGCUUUUCAAACAUGAAUACUGAGGACUCGGUGGCUUUGUCUUCACUACCUUCGUACCAUUACGGUGCGCUUUACCCAUCAACAUCCAUCCACCAGCCACCACAAAACAAUGUCAACAAUCGAAUUCCACGAACUUUAUCUCAAUGGAGCUGUAGAAAUAUAUUUGCAAUGAAUGGCAAAAAGGCAGCAGCUAUGGUACGUUGAGUCGGUCAGGCGGGUAAACACGGUAGAGCGGUAAAGCGGACAGAGCCUCAGUUAUUGCUAAUGUUUGGCGAGAGGGUGGUGGCCACAGAGUCGGAAGAAAUACAAUGAUGACAUUUAACUCUGCUACCACCAGCACAACAAAAGGCCUGACUCAGACUAAAGAGAAUAGAGGAACGGGUGAAGCAGAAGCAGUAGAAGUGGCUACAGCUAAGCAAAUAAACAAAUAAAGAAAAUCUGACCCAACUUUCGGCUUUCAGCAAUUAGCAAAAAACAUUGCACAGCGGAGGAAAUAAUAAUGAGGAUGUUAAAUUCAUGUCAAUAAAACAACAAAAAUACGUUGAAGCAAUCACAA